AGGGGAAUAUUGGACAAUGGGCGAAAGCCUGAUCCAGCCAUGCCGCGUGUGUGAAGAAGGUCUUCGGAUUGUAAAGCACUUUAAGUUGGGAGGAAGGGCAUUAACCUAAUACGUUAGUGUUUUGACGUUACCGACAGAAUAAGCACCGGCUAACUCUGUGCCAGCAGCCGCGGGAAUACAGAGGGUGCAAGCGUUAAUCGGAAUGACUGGGCGUAAAGCGCGCGUAGGUGGUUUGUUAAGUUGGAUGUGAAAUCCCCGGGCUCAACCUGGGAACUGCAUUCAAAACUGACUGACUAGAGUAUGGUAGAGGGUGGUGGAAUUUCCUGUGUAGCGGUGAAAUGCGUAGAUAUAGGAAGGAACACCAGUGGCGAAGGCGACCACCUGGACUAAUACUGACACUGAGGUGCGAAAGCGUGGGGAGCAAACA
rnacentral:rRNA from 1 species